AGAAUAUAAGCGUUGUGGAGUCAGGAAAACUUCCAACCAGAUUUCAGAAGGCCUGGGAGGCCAGGCAGUGUGUGAAGCUGUGAGUGUGAAGCCAAAGGUGCAGUGGAGACUCCAGUAUGUAGGAGAAGCCAAGAACAUGAAAUAUCUGAGGAAAGCUGCAGGGAGUGAGCAUAACCAGCCAAGGAGAGCAACCAUGAUGGCUGCAGUGCUAUAGGGGAAGGGCCCCUCAAACUAUUUGGAGUUCACAUUUCACUGCCACAACUUGCCCUGUGUGGUGUACAUGGAACCUUGUGCAGGGCUUUGGUCUUGAUUUUGUCCCUUUGGUUUCUACUCCACUUUUGGAGUAGGAAUAUUUACCCUGGGUCUUUGUGUGUCCUCAAUGUCUAACUACAUUUUGAUAUUUACAGGGGUUCACAAGUAAAAGUUUGCCUUAAGUCUCAGAGGAGACUUUGGACUUGGACUUUUCAGCAGUCCUGGAGCAGCAAGUCAGAAAGUAUAAGUCAGAGUGAAUCUUGGUCAGUGUGUUCUUGCUGCUGUGGCACCAUCUGCACGAGUCCUCACCAGAGCCAAGAAGCCAGCAUUCUCACAGCACUUUCAUUACAAGCAGACGGGGAUGUGUGUACCUGCGAGGGUGAACUGGCCUCGCCCCAGGCACAGGGCAGCCCAGGGACGGGUUGGCCAGGCUGCUGGUCAGAGGGUAACAAAGAAAUCUCCUACAUAACUGCAAUGCCAUCAUCACACCUGGAGAAUUUAACAACGCUGUGGCCAAGAGCCUGGGGUAGGAUUUUUGUAGGUGAGAUCUCUAGAGAAAGGAAGGCACUGUACGGUAGAUAUUAGUUUAAAGGCAGAAGCUGAGUGUGAUGGUGCUCCCAUGUAAUCCCAGCACUAGAGAGGCUGAGGUAGGAGGAUCAAUUUGAGUUCGAGGCCAGCCUGAACUAUGUAGUAAACUCAAGGCCAACCUGAACUACAUAGUGAGACCCUGUCUUGGAAAAAAAAUUAAAGGCAUGCAAUAGUAAGAAAGAGUAGCUGUGUCUGUAUUGUUUAUUUUUGUUCUUUGCUGGCCCAGCCAGCGAAUGUGUGGUUUGUUAUACCUAAGUUAUGGCUAUAUAAACAUAUCUCAGUUUGUGCCUGGGCUACACAGUGGGUCUAUGUCUUUAAUGUCUCUAGGGAACCUGAUACCCAAGCUUUAAA
rnacentral:lncRNA from 1 species